UCUUCCUGUGGGCAGGCAUGAGCCAAGAUGGGCGGGGCCAUGAAUGCAAAAUCACAGUGUGACAUAGAUUUGUGAGGACUUUCGAAUUCUAGCGUUUCACAGUCUAUUUUUGAUUAUAAGCUGACGCAGGAGAUAGAUGUAGAAGACUGUUUUCAUGUUUGGUCUCAGAGUGACUGAUUAUAAUCAGAAAUAAUCAUAAACAAUGGUUUUCAGUCAACCACACCUUUAAAGACGCACAUUCAGACUGAUACUAACCAAUAGGACUUAAAGCAUUUUUUGCUGUUUGUUUACUUGAGGAUGACCAAACACAGCUUGUCUGCAGUCGUGUGUCUGAUGAUGAUGUAACAACAAUCUGAUAAACAGGUCUGGCUUCAGCAGCUCGCUGCAGAUUCUGAUCAACUGGAGUCUUUAAACAGGAAACUUUCCAUCAAGCAGCUGGGUGUGUUGUCCAGCUGCAGGACAGAUGUUGUGUUGCCUGCUGCAGGCCAGCUUUUAAACUCUAUUAAUCAGCUGCAGGAGAAUCAAUUAAUAUUUGCUGUUUAAUUUUUGCGUUAAAAAACUACUUGCUCUGGUAAAACAAACUACAGCAAAUUGAUCAGAGUGAAAAAUAAUGAGGUGCUGAUCCGAACAUCUGAAGUGUUUCAGCUUAGACAUUAUAUAAAAAUAAAAUGUACUGCAUUUUGCACAAUUGCGAACUGGGGUCUUGCCUCUUGCUAUUGAAGUGGGGUGAUACAAAGCGUUACUGGAGGAUCAACGUUUGUGUGUGUGUGACUUAGAUGUUCUUGAAAAAGAGUUUAAUUUCUUGUUUUAUUUUCCUUUUUAAAACGAUUUAAGAAUGUCCCUGUUUGAAAAGAUUCAGAGUAAAAUCCUGAUUGUUUUGUUUAUCAGAUGGUGAAAUGUUAAGUUGGCUUCUCGUAGUGUCAUUUAGAAAAAUCAAGACUUUAAUAUUUUAACAUUUUAAUUAAAAUCUUAUCAGGUUUUCUAAAAAUAUACAUUUGUAUUUGUCUCUUUUGCAGUUUAUCUUUUAUUGCAUGAACAUAAUGCUUUUUAAUAAGCAACAUUUUUAGGAAAUUACAGCAUUUUCAUACUUUUUUGCAUUUUAAAAUGAAGUAAACAAAAAUGUCUUGAGUAUUGAUUUAAAAGCCAAAACAAUGUUUUUUAUAUCAUAUCAUACUCAUCAGUGAUAGCAUUUAUUACGCAUUUUUAGUUGAUAAAGUUUGUUUUUAAAUCUCAUGGUUUGAUGUAAACAUUCUCAUCUGGCACAUCUGAAUAACAAAAUCACUUAUUUGUUAACCUAGUGAUUGGUUUUCCCUAGAAGCACAUCAAACCAAAUAAUCAUAAAAACUCCUAAUUAGACAUGCUUUGUUAAAAAAUUGUCUGAACAUAUUUUUAUAGACUUGAAUUUAGUUAAAACAAUUUCCAGUGAGAUGCAACACAUUUAGUCUUCUUUUCCUCUAAAUAACAACAAAAUAAAUCUGUUCAUACAGAGGGAAGGAAAGAUAGAAGUGGUCAUGUAAUUUGUCCCUUUCCUGUUCUUCCUCCAUCACAGAGGAGCUAUUUAAUGUAACAAUAGAACUGUAACGCGUCAUCAGCCUCUCUUUCUGGCUUUAAACCAGUUUAAUUUGUCUCAGUGGACAUAGAAAACACCACCUUUAUGAAGAUCUGGGGAGGAAAAAAUAUUGCUCCUUCUUGUAUUCUGUGUCCAUUUCCUCUUUUCUUUCAGCCUGUUUAAUGAAACACUACAAACGGUUCGCUGCCUGUUUCUUGAAACCACUUGGGAAAUCAUCACAGAUCAACCUCCGGCCUUCAUGCCCAGGCCUCCUCUGAGAGGACAAACACAUUGAGACAUGAUUCUUCUCCAAAAGCAGCAUUCACUAGUACAGGUUAUUCAUUUUAACUGUAGGAUGAAGCUAGUUGGACAUUCAUGUUUAAAAACUAGGAUAUGAAAUUGGAAAAAGUUUUGGCCCAACUGUAAAAAAAUACAAUGAUUUUUACUUUUAUUUUAACUUUAAUUUUAUUAACUGUGACAAGAUGAAUGCACUGAAUGUUUUUUUUAUGAUUUUCAGGUCAGCAACGAACAAGUUGGUAUGAGGUCAUGUAACUUCAUGAGGGUGUUACAUUAGCUUACUCUCAUGUGCCAGUCAACUUUCCUUCUCUGCAUCAAAUAUCACAUUUUCCUCAGUUUCUUGGGAAAAGAGGAGGAAACCUGAUUGAACUACAUUAAAUGGGAUAAAUGAGGCAUUUAAUCUGUGAUAGAAAAGUCUUGAACCUGCUUCUGAUGCAAGGAGGAACUAUCACCCCAUCUCUAACAGGGUAAAUAUUCCUAAGCGAGGGUAGCUCACUGGGCGCUUUAGCCCUUUAGGCCCCAGGCCUUUUUUCUUUGGACUCUGGCACCUCCUAAUUGGGGGCCUUUGGAGUUUCAUGUCCCAAGUGUCAGUGAUUGUUUGCAUUCCCCGAGCACAGCUACAGCUACAAUCUGUCACGGUCUGAGGCGUAUUCCUGCUGUCACUCCCUGUCUUUUGAGUUUUCCCUCUGCAGGUGGGCGUGUCUGGAGGUUGACCAAGCUGCAGCAGAUCUGCUCAUCAGCUGGCCAGGGGUAUUAAAGCAGCUGAGAGACUUCUACACCUCGCUGGAUGGUUACUCUACCUUGGUACCGUCUAUCAGCCACUUGUGUAUCUUAUUCGAGCUCUUUUAACCUUUUGAUAAUUACAUUUAUUUUUUUUUUGGAAUUUGGAUUUUGAGAAUUUGAUGAGUUUUUGGAUAUUGGAUUUUUGCCUUUUGACCUCCUGCUCUUGUCUCCAGACAAACCUUCACACUCAUCUUAGACUGGCAGAACCCUGGAACCCACACCAUCUGGAACUCCAACCCCGCUCGUCUCUCAGCCUCUCCCCUGGCCAGAACUACCUCCAGCUGCCCACCUAAACUUCCUGGACCUCCACAAGCUCAGCUCCCUCCACGUCUCACUUCUUGGAUCUCAGUCCCUGCAAAGCCUCUCAACCCAGACCGGACCAGUCGUCCCUCACUAGUUCCCUCCUCUCCAGACCAUUUCCCGCACCAGCUUCCUUGUGCAAGAACUCAGCUACGUUUAUGCUGCUUCCUUGGUUUUCCUUUAAUAAAUCCUUGUUCAAACACUUCA